CUGGUACAAAUCGACUUAUACCUGGAACAAAGCACACAGACCAAUUGGACUUCUCCUUACACUAUGAGGUUAGGUUAGACUGAAGAUGACCAGGAAGCAGUACAAAACAGUAAGGAAUGAAAUGACAAGAGGUACAAAACAACUACUUAUCAACAGGACUAUCGCCACAUGAACUGUGAGGAGCUGGAUGAUGUAAAAUGGUUCUGCAGCAAGUUCUCACCACAGAGCACAGGCAUUCAUAUUGCAGUGAGAUAUGUUGCAAGAGAUUAAUGAAAUGUAAUGAAGUUAGAACAAGUAGAGGAAAUUCACUGAAACUUUUCAAGCCAAGAUCCACAUUAAAUGUAAGGAAAUGUCUUUCCGUACAGGGUAGUAAAUUCUUGGAACCUUUUACCUGACUGGUUAGUUUCAGCAAUUUUCGUGAAGAAAUUAGUGGUAAAAUUAGACCAAUUCUGGGCAAAUCAAAAUUUAUAUUAUGAUUACCACCACAUGCUACCAAAACACAGAAAUGAAGAUCUGGAGCCACGGGCAUAAGCCUCUUCCAGGAAGUCAACUGUAAGAAACUAAGUGUCACCAGUUGUGACUCUGCUGCACCAUGAGGAUCAAAAUUGUAAAGUUGAAAGUCAAGCACAUUUUGAAAAAGUCAAACUAAGCAAAGUAGCACCACAAUUUCCACAACUUUGAGUAGGAACAGAUGACUUUUUUAUCUUUUUAAGAAAAUGCCAUGGUUGGAGGAGGAGGAGGAUGACCUGUAGAUUUUAAUUUAGGCUGUUUUACUAAAAAUAAAAGGUAUAAAAUGCCUUUUUCUCUUAUAAAAGCAUGAUUCUGUUAUCUUAGCAAUCGUGCUAAAGUUUACUUUGUAAUUUAGUGGACUUGCAUCAUAAAAAAAAAAAAGUCACAGUUAAGAGGUUGCAAGUCACAACUAGGGAACC